rnacentral:rRNA from 1 species
UCCAGCAGGCAUAUCACCCUGCAACUCACAACUGGCAACCCACCGAAGCUAAGCAGGUGUGAGCCUGGUCAGUACCUGGGUAAGAGACCUCCCGGGAAAAACUAAGGUUGCUGCUGGAA